GCUCUGGUGUCCUAGUGGUUAGAGCAUCCGCCUUGGAUGCGGGAGGUCGUUUGUUCGAUUCACGGUCGAGUCAUAACA